rnacentral:rRNA from 1 species
AUUGAACGCUGGCGGAAUGCUUUACACAUGCAAGUCGAACGAUGAACCUUAGCUUGCUAGGGGGAUUAGUGGCGAACGGGUGAGUAACAUAUCGGAACGUACCUAGUAAUGGGGGAUAACUAGUCGAAAGAUUAGCUAAUACCGCAUACGCCCUGAGGGGGAAAGUAGGGGAUCUUCGGACCUUACGUUAUUAGAGCGGCCGAUAUCUGAUGAGCUAGUUGGUGGGGUAAAGGCCUACCAAGGCGACGAUCAGUAGCUGGUCGGAGAGGACGACCAGCCACACUGGAACUGAGACACGGUCCAGACUCCUACGGGAGGCAGCAGUGGGGAAUUUUGGACAAUGGGGGCAACCCUGAUCCAGCCAUUCCGCGUGAGUGAAGAAGGCCUUCGGGUUGUAAAGCUCUUUCGCAAGGGAAGAAAACUUACAUUCUAAUAAAGUGUGAGGCUGACGGUACCUUGAUAAGAAGCACCGGCUAACUACGUGCCAGCAGCCGCCGUAA